rnacentral:rRNA from 1 species
UACAGAGGUCUCAAGCGUUGUUCGGAUUCAUUGGGCGUAAAGGGUGUGUAGGUGGCGCCGUAAGUCGGGUGUGAAAUUUCGGGAGCUUAACUCCGAAACUGCAUUCGAUAACUGCGGUGCUUGAGGACUGGAGAGGAGACUGGAAUUCAUGGUGUAGCAGUGAAAUGCGUAGAGAUCAAUGAGGAAGACCAGUGGCGAAGGCGGGUC